UUUCAUUUCAUUUUUGUCAUCUUAGCAUCUUAGAGUACAAUACAAUAAAUACAAGGUCCAUGAAAUUACAGAUAAAAAAUCCAGUUAUUGGGUGCAUGCACAAACAGUAUAUUAGAGCUUGUGGAAUAUUCUAGAAAAGAUAUAUUGUACAACUAUUGUGAUAGCACAAGAACUCAUUAUUUUCAGUUGGACAUUUUUAGAUGUGUACACAUUGACCUUUACGACACCUAAGUUUAUAUCCAUGUUGCACUUUUGGACAAUCUUUAUCCGUUGUACAAGGAUGAGACACUACAAUCAAAAACAGAAUGAAACAUUGUUACUAAAACAUAAUAAAAUUUAUUUCAUGUAUAUACUAUGAAGUAAAGAAGGAAAUUUGAGAAGGAUGAAAUGGUGGAUCAUAUUAAUUGAUAACUUACCAUCGGUUACUUUCUUUUGAGGGGUACAAUCAGUUACUUUGGUGACAAGAAACAUGGAAAGAAAUAGAAACAUAACACACACAAACUUUAGAGUUUCAGUCAUAUUUUUUUCUCUUUG
rnacentral:lncRNA from 1 species